rnacentral:rRNA from 1 species
UACGUAGGGUGCAAGCGUUAAUCGGAAUUACUGGGCGUAAAGCGUGCGCAGGCGGCUAUGCAAGACAGAUGUGAAAUCCCCGGGCUCAACCUGGGAACUGUAUUUGUGACUGCAUGGCUAGAGUACGGUAGAGGGGGAUGGAAUUCCGCGUGUAGCAGUGAAAUGCGUAGAUAUGCGGAGGAACACCGAUGGCGAAGGCAAUCCCCUGGACCUGUACUGACGCUCAUGCACGAAAGCGUGGGGAGCAAACAGG